AGUGGCGAAAGGGUGCGUAACACGUAGCUAUCUACCUCGAAGUGGGGGAUAUCUCCGAGAAAUCGGAGUUAAUACCGCAUGUGCGUGAGCAAAGUUGCGCUUCGAGAUGAGGCUGCGGCCUAUCAGUUAGUUGGCGGGGUAAUGGCCCACCAAGACGAAGACGGGUAGCUGGUCUGAGAGGGCGACCAGCCACACUGGAACUGAGACACGGUCCAGACACCUACGGGUGGCAGCAGUCGAGGAUUUUUCUCAAUGGGGGAAACCCUGAAGGAGCGACGCCGCGUGGGGGAUGAAGGUCUUCGGAUUGUAAACCCCUGUCAUCCGGGAACAAUGAUAGUACCGGAAGAGGAAGCCGUGGCUAACUCUGUGCCAGCAGCCGCGGUAAUACAGAGACGGCAAGCGUUGUUCGGAUUCAUUGGGC
rnacentral:rRNA from 1 species